rnacentral:rRNA from 1 species
CACAGGUGGGCAGGGCGAGUAGCCCAAGGUGAACAGGUAAAACCUCGUUAAGGAACUCGGCAAAACAGUGUCCGUAAGUUCGCAAUAAGGACUGCCUCGACCUCGGUCGAGGCCGCAGCAAAAGAUCCCUGGCGACUGUUUAUCAAAAACACAGGUCCCUGCUAACUCGUAAGAGGAUGUAUAGGGGCUGACGCCUGACCAGUGCUAGAAGGUUAAUGGUGGGGGUAUUUCGACUUCGGUCGGGACGCUCACUGCCUGAAGCCCUAGUGAACGUCGGCGAUAACUAUAAUCGUCCUAAGGUACCGAAAUUCCUUGACACGUAAGUUGUGUCCUGCAGGAAAGGCGUAACGACUGGGGAACUGUCUCAACGAGGAGCCUGGUGAAAAUGCAAUGUCGGUAAAGAUGCCGACUACCUGCGGCAAGACGGAAAGACCCCGGGAGCUUUACUAUAGGUUCUCAUUGGUUUAUUGUUUUGGAUGCGUAGCAUAGUGGGGAGACUUUGAAGCUUUGACUUCGGUUGGAGUGGAGUCGUCAGUGAAAUACCCAUCUUUCAAAGCAAUAUUUCUAAUCCCGCAUUAAUGCGAGAGACAGUGGGUGCUGGGUAGUUUCAGUGGGGCGCUGGCCUCCUAAAAGGUAACGGAGGCGUUUAUUAAGGUCGGCUAUUUCCGAAUGGAAACCGGAAAGGUCGUGCAAAGGCAUAAGCCGGCUUUACUGCAAGACGGACAUGUCGCGCAGUUGCGAAAGCAGAACUUAGUGAACUGAC